rnacentral:rRNA from 1 species
AGAGUUUGAUCCUGGCUCAGCCGAACGCUGGCGGCGUGGUUAAGACAUGCAAGUCGUACGGGACCCGCAAGGGUUCAGUGGCGGACGGGUGAGUAAUGUAUCGCUAAUGUGCCCCGGAAUCCGGGAUAGCUAGCCGAAAGGCUAGGUAAUACCGGAUGAUAUACCUUGAAGGCAUCUUCGAGGUCUCAAAGGAGUAAUCCGGUCUGGGAGCAGGCGAUAUCGUAUCAGCUAGUUGGUGAGGUAACGGCUCACCAAGGCGACGACGCGUAGCCGGGCUGAGAGGUUGGCCGGCCACAUUGGGACUGAGACACGGCCCAGACUCCUACGGGAGGCAGCAGUGGGGAAUAUUGGACAAUGGGGGCAACCCUGAUCCAGCGAUGCCGCGUGGGUGAAGAAGGCCUUCGGGUUGUAAAGCCCUUUAGGUUGGGACGAAGGUUAUUACCGGAUAAUGGUAGUAACUUGACGGUACCGACAGAAUAAGCACCGGCAAACUCUGUGCCAGCAGCCGCGGUAAUACAGAGGGUGCGAGCGUUAAUCGGAUUUACUGGGCGUAAAGGGCGCGUAGGCGGUGAGAUGUGUGUGAUGUGAAAGCCCCGGGCUUAACCUGGGAAGUGCAUCGCAAACUGUCUGACUGGAGUAUAUGAGAGGGUGGCGGAAUUUCCGGUGUAGCGGUGAAAUGCGUAGAUAUCGGAAGGAACGUCAAUGGCGAAGGCAGCCACCUGGCAUAAUACUGACGCUGAGGCGCGAAAGCGUGGGGAUCGAACAGGAUUAGAUACCCUGGUAGUCCACGCUGUAAACGAUGAGUACUAGAUGUUGGUAGGGGAACCUAUCAGUAUCGAAGCUAACGCGAUAAGUACUCCGCCUGGGAAGUACGGCCGCAAGGUUGAAACUCAAAUGAAUUGACGGGGGCCCGCACAAGCGGUGGACAUGUGGUUUAAUUCGAUGCAACGCGAAGAACUUACCUACCCUUGACAUCCUAGGAAUCUGGCUUAGUAGCUGGAGUGCAGAAAGGAACCUAGAGACAGGUGCUGCAUGGCUGUCGUCAGCUCGUGUUGUGAGAUGUUGGGUUAAGUCCCGUAACGAGCGCAACCCUUGCCCUUAGUUGCCAUCAUUUAGUUGGGGACUCUAAGGGGACCGCCAGUGGUGAACUGGAGGAAGGCGGGGGCGACGUCAAGUCAUCAUGGCCUUUAUGGGUAGGGCCACACACGUGCUACAAUGGGGCGUACAGAGAGUCGCGAACCUGCGAAGGGGAGCCAAUCUCACAAAGCGUCUCGUUAGUCCGGAUUGGAGUCUGCAACUCGACUCCAUGAAGUUGGAAUCGCUAGUAAUCGCGAAUCAGCAUUGUCGCGGUGAAUACGUUCCCGGGCCUUGUACACACCGCCCGUCACGUCAUGGAA